GAUGAACGCUAGCUACAGGCUUAACACAUGCAAGUCGAGGGGCAUCAGGAAGAAAGCUUGCUUUCUUUGCUGGCGACCGGCGCACGGGUGAGUAACACGUAUCCAACCUGCCCUUUACUCGGGGAUAGCCUUUCGAAAGAAAGAUUAAUACCCGAUGGCAUAAUGAUUCCGCAUGGUUUCAUUAUUAAAGGAUUCCGGUAAAGGAUGGGGAUGCGUUCCAUUAGGUCGUUGGUGAGGUAACGGCCCACCAAGCCUUCGAUGGAUAGGGGUUCUGAGAGGAAGGUCCCCCACAUUGGAACUGAGACACGGUCCAAACUCCUACGGGAGGCAGCAGUGAGGAAUAUUGGUCAAUGGGCGGUAGCCUGAACCAGCCAAGUAGCGUGAAGGAUGAAGGCUCUAUGGGUCGUAAACUUCUUUUAUAUAAGAAUAAAGUGCAGUAUGUAUACUGUUUUGUAUGUAUUAUAUGAAUAAGGAUCGGCUAACUCCGUGCCAGCAGCCGCGGUAAUACGGAGGAUCCGAGCGUUAUCCGGAUUUAUUGGGUUUAAAGGGAGCGUAGGUGGACUGGUAAGUCAGUUGUGAAAGUUUGCGGCUCAACCGUAAAAUUGCAGUUGAUACUGUCAGUCUUGAGUACAGUAGAGGUGGGCGGAAUUCGUGGUGUAGCGGUGAAAUGCUUAGAUAUCACGAAGAACUCCGAUUGCGAAGGCAGCUCACUGGACUGCAACUGACACUGAUGCUCGAAAGUGUGGGUAUCAAACAGG
rnacentral:rRNA from 1 species